CAGCAGUGGGGAAUAUUGCACAAUGGGCGCAAGCCUGAUGCAGCCAUGCCGCGUGGGUGAAGAAGGCCUUCGGGUUGUAAAGCACUUUCAGUCGUGAGGAAGGUGGUGUAGUUAAUAGCUGCAUUACUUGACGUUAGCGACAGAAGAAGCACCGGCUAACUCCGUGCCAGCAGCCGCGGUAAUACGGAGGGUGCGAGCGUUAAUCGGAAUUACUGGGCGUAAAGCGCAUGCAGGUGGUUUGUUAAGUCAGAUGUGAAAGCCCGGGGCUCAACCUCUGGAAUAGCAUUUGAAACUGGCAGACUAGAGUACUGUAGAGGGGGGUAGAAUUUCAGGUGUAGCGGUGAAAUGCGUAGAGAUCUGAAGGAAUACCGGUGGCGAAGGCGGCCCCCUGGACAGAUACUGACACUCAGAUGCGAAAGCGUGGGGAGCAAACAGGAUUAGAUACCCUGGUAGUCCACGCCGUAAACGAUGUCUACUUGGAGGUUGUGGCCUUGAGCCGUGGCUUUCGGAGCUAACGCGUUAAGUAGACCGCCUGGGGAGUACGGUCGCAAGAUUAAAACUCAAAUGAAUUGACGGGGGCCCGCACAAGCGGUGGAGCAUGUGGUUUAAUUCGAUGCAACGCGAAGAACCUUACCUACUCUUGACAUCCAGAGAACUUU
rnacentral:rRNA from 1 species